CCUACGGGAGGCAGCAGUAGGGAAUUUUCGGCAAUGGGCGGAAGCCUGACCGAGCAACGCCGCGUGAUUGAAGAAGUAUUUCGGUAUGUAAAAAUCUUUUAUUAGGGAAGAAAAGAUCAAGAUUGACGGUACCUAAUGAAUAAGCUCCGGCUAACUACGUGCCAGCAGCCGCGGUAAU
rnacentral:rRNA from 1 species